GCGAGAUGAAUAUGGAAAUUUUAUUGUUUUUACUUUUGGUUUAAGUAAAGGCAAUUUAUCCAGUGGUUUAUCCACAUAAAAUUCUAGAUAGAAAACUGAUAAUGACAAAUUUCUAUCUAAUAGUCUUGACUAAAUCACGUGCCAGCUGUCGCGGUAAUACGGGAAAGACAAGUGUUAUUCAUCUUUAAUAGGUUUAAAGGGUACCUAGACGGGUAUAUGAAUCCAAGCCUUUUAUGUACAAUAAAAGGGUGCAAACUAUUAUAGUUUGUGUUACGCAGAAAUUACCUUCCUGUUUUUCACAAUAGNUGCAUUAUCCAGCUUUUAUUUAAUGGAUAUUAAGAUGCACUUACAACUGCCCUAGUUGUUAAUGUUAAAUUAAUGUUUUUGCAAAAAAUACGCUUUAUUUUGCGGUUGANUUAAAUAAGCUUUGGUCCGCAAAGAUGUUUUACAUCUUUUAGCCCAUUAUAUAUAGUUUGUUCGGUUACAAAAACCUAGAGUUUUAUGUAAGAGGAUUUUAUAAGUACUAACGGAGUAGAGAUGAAAUUUUUUGAUACUGUUGGGCACUGAUAACGGCGAAGGCAACCCUUUAUGUAAAAACUGACGUUGAGGGACGAAGGCUUGGGUAGCAAACAGGAUUAGGUACCCUAAUAGUCCAGGCAGAAAAUUAUGAAUGCCAUAGUCUAGAAUUAUUUUGGUCUAUAAAUGAAAAGUGUAAGCAUUUCACCUCAAGAGUAAUGUGGCAACGCAGGAACUGAAAUCAUUAGACCGUUUCUGAAACCAGUAGUGAAGUAUGUUGUUUAAUUCGAUGGUCCGCGAAAAACCUUACCACAAUUUGAAUAUUUUAGCGUAAAAACUUUUUUAUAUGCUAUUUAUACAGGUGUUGCACGGCUGUCUUUAGUUAAUGUCGUGAGAUGCAGGUUAGCUCCAAGGAAUUAACGUAAACCCUUGCUUAUUUAUUAUUAUAAAGUAGUUCUUUGGAAUAUCGGAUAAGAUAACAGGGGUCAA
rnacentral:rRNA from 1 species